CCUACGGGAGGCAGCAGUGAGGAAUAUUGGUCAAUGGGCGCGAGCCUGAACCAGCCAAGUCGCGUGAAGGAUGACUGCCCUACGGGUUGUAAACUUCGUUUAUAAAGGAAUAAAGUGAGGCACGUGUGCCUUUUUGUAUGUACUUUAUGAAUAAGGAUCGGCUAACUCCGUGCCAGCAGCCGCGGUAAUACGGAGGAGCCGAGCGUUAUCCGGAUUUAUUGGGUUUAAAGGGAGCGUAGAUGGGUUGUUAAGUCAGGAGUGAAAGUUUGCGGCUCAACCGUAAAAUUGCAAUUGAUACUGGCAGCCUUGAGUGCAGUUGAGGUAGGCGGAAUUCGUGGUGUAGCGGUGAAAUGCUUAGAUAUCACGAAGAACUCCGAUUGCGAAGGCAGCUUACUAAACUGCCACUGACGUUGAGGCUCGAAAGUGUGGGUAUCAAACAGGAUUAGAUACCCGGGUAGUC
rnacentral:rRNA from 1 species